rnacentral:rRNA from 1 species
GAUAUGGGACAAUGGGGGCAACCCUGAUCCAGCCAUGCCGCGUGUUUGAAGAAGGACUUCGGAUUGUAAAGCACUUUAAUUAGGGAGGAAGGGCCUUAGGUUAAUACCCUGAAAUUUUGACUUUACCAACAGAAUAAGUACUGGCUAACUCUCUGCCAGCAGCCGCGGUAAUACAUAGGGUGCAAGCGUUAAUCGGAAUUACUGGGCGUAAAGCGCGCGUAGGUGGUUCAGUAAGAUGGGUGUGAAAUCCCCGGGCUUAACCUGGGAACUGCUUUCAUAACUGCUGAGCUAGAGUACGGUAGAGGGUAGUGGAAUUUCCUGUGUAGCGGUGAAAUGCGUAGAUAUAGGAAGGAACACCAGUGGCGAAGGCGACUACCUGGACUGAUACUGACACUGAGGUGCGAAAGCGUGGGGAGCAAAC